GUGCCAGGUAACGCCUGGGCGGCGCGAGCCGACGGAAAGUGCAACAGAAAGAUACCGCCGAUGGCCCGCAAGGGAUCAGGCAAGGGUGAAAUGGUGCGGUAAGAGCGCACCGCGAGUCCGGCAACGGACCGGCACGGCAAACCCCACCGGGAGCAAGACCAAAUAGGGGCGACACGCCGGGUAACCGGCAGCGGUGUUUCCGCGUCGUCGCCCGGGUCGGUCGCGCGAGUCGCCCGGUAACGGGCGUCCCAGAGGAAUGGCCAUCCAUCGCUCGAGAGUUUCGGCUCUUGGCGGGGACAGAACCCGGCUUACAGGCCGUCUGACCCU
rnacentral:RNase_P_RNA from 1 species